UACGUAGGGGGCAAGCGUUGUCCGGAAUCAUUGGGCGUAAAGCGCGUGUAGGCGGCCCGGUAAGUCCGCUGUGAAAGUCGGGGGCUCAACCCUCGAAUGCCGGUGGAUACUGUCGGGCUAGAGUACGGAAGAGGCGAGUGGAAUUCCUGGUGUAGCGGUGAAAUGCGCAGAUAUCAGGAGGAACACCAAUUGCGAAGGCAGCUCGCUGGGACGUGACUGACGCUGAGACGCGAAAGCGUGGGUCGCGAAUGGG
rnacentral:rRNA from 1 species